rnacentral:lncRNA from 1 species
AGACUGAAAUAAUCAUGUAUGUUAUCUUAAAAAAACUCAUUUAUAUGACACUGUGGGGGAAGAGAGAGGCAGUUACCUGUGCUGAUAACCAUCAAACAGAAAUUGGGAACUAAACCAAUGGACCCUGAAAGACUAGUAAUUUGAUAGGAAAUUUUCCAUAGUAACAGACAAAUUAAGGGUACUUUAAACUCUUUUAAAACCAAAACCUAAAAUAAUCUCUUUUGUAAGAUUUUUACAUUUUAGUUCAUAAUUUACAUGUACAUUUUUAUUUUACUACUGUAGUUAUAGCUGAACAUGUUAGUAAUACAAUUGUUGAGGUGAUACAAAAAUUCAUACUUUAUGAAACUACUGCAUUAUUAAAAUACAGACAAUGCUUUUACAAUUUGUUUUACAUCGAAAUAGCUCAUAAAGUUCUUGCUUGUUUACUGAAAGAGUCGUGGAAAAACUCAUUGUUACUACAGCUGUGUGCUUGUUCACCCUUCUCUCACCACCCACUGGCUGUUUGCUGAAAGGGAGGUCUGGUGAUCUUUCAAAGCAUCUCUUUGAAUGAGUUUUUGCACAAAAGUGCUUUUACUUUCCUUUGAAGGGAAAGAGCAGUAUGUGUGUGAGUGUAUGUAGGGUGACGACAGUAAAGGGAAAGGCAUGGCAUGGUGACUACCUCUCUUUCCCAACAUCCACAUGAAAUAAUUUCAUCAGAGACCUCGUGAUAUAAUGAACAUAGGCAGUGCUGCUUCAAGAACCAGGUGACAAAGUAUGGCACAGAGCUGGCCUUGCCCCUGCCAUUGAGCUCAGUCCCACUCUCGCUCUUGGUGAGCAGCUUUGAGAGCACUCAGAGAUAAUCCCCUUGACUCCAGCGUGGAUUCCCUCACGGAGGAUAUUAGCAGCAGUGGAAGUGGCAAGCUCCCUAAUGCAAGUGAUACUCAGCACUAGACUUUCAGGAGAAGGUUGGAGGACAAGAACAAAGACAAACAUUACAACAUUAUAGAGCACAUAGGAACUGUCUCUUGGAGAAUUCUGGAAAUAUGGGAAAGAGGUGAGACAUUUUCAGGAGUCUAGGGGCCUAGUGGAAGCAGAGGGGCUAAAUUUAUAUUAUUAAUAUACCUGGAAAUCAGUUCAUACCCCAGGCUGGUGUGAGCUUUAAAGAGUGGUUUUUGGCUAAUGGGUUGUUAGCUAACAGAUACUCUUCAUGUAAUUCAAAUUGCCAAUGGUGGGACUGAGAAGACUUUCCCAUUAAGAGAACUGGACAAGAGAAAGGAAGAUCGUUCAAAGCACAAUGAAGUAGGAGAAUGCUUACAGAAACCUGAGUAACUGAAGUAUAUUCUCUGAUCAAAGGCAACAGGGGUUAUUCUUCCA